rnacentral:rRNA from 1 species
UACAGAGGUCCCAAGCGUUGUUCGGAUUUACUGGGCGUAAAGGGUGCGUAGGCGGCGCGGUAAGUCGGGUGUGAAAUCUCGGAGCUUAACUCCGAAACUGCAUUCGAUACUGCCGUGCUUGAGGACUGGAGAGGAGACUGGAAUUUACGGUGUAGCGGUGAAAUGCGUAGAUAUCGUAAGGAAGACCAGUGGCGAAGGCGGGUCUCUGGACAGUUCCUGACGCUGAGGCACGAAGGUCAGGGGAGCAAACGGG